rnacentral:rRNA from 1 species
AGAAUCAACGCUGGCGGCGUGCCUAACACAUGCAAGUCGAACGAGAAAGGGACUUCGGUCCUGAGUAUAGUGGCGCACGGGUGAGUAACACGUGAAUAAUCUACCUCCGAGUGGGGAAUAACCUGGAGAAAUCUAGGCUAAUACCGCAUAACACUUACGAGUCAAAGCAGAAAUGCGCUUGGAGAGGAGUUCGCGGCAGAUUAGUUAGUUGGCGGGGUAAUGGCCCACCAAGACGAUGAUCUGUAUCCGGCCUGAGAGGGCGCACGGACACACUGGAACUGAAACACGGUCCAGACUCCUACGGGAGGCAGCAGUGGGGAAUUUUUGCGCAAUGGGGGAAACCCUGACGCAGCAACGCCGCGUGGAGGAUGAAGUAUCUUGGUACGUAAACUCCUUUCGAUGGGGAAGAUAAUGACGGUACCCAUAGAAGAAGCCCGGCUAACUUCGCGCCAGCAGCCGC